UGCGUAGGGGGCGAGCGUUGUCCGGAUUUAUUGGGCGUAAAGAGCGUGUAGGCGGCCAGGUAGGUCUGCUGUGAAAACUCGAGGCUCAACCUCGAGACGUCGGCGGAAACCAUCUGGCUAGAGUCCGGAAGAGGAGAGUGGAAUUCCUGGUGUAGCGGUGAAAUGCGCAGAUAUCGGGAAGAACACCUAUGGCGAAGGCAGCUCUCUGGGACGGUACUGACGCUGAGACGCGAAAGCGUGGGGAGCAAACAGG
rnacentral:rRNA from 1 species